rnacentral:rRNA from 1 species
AACGUAGGAGGCGAGCGUUAUCCGGAUUUACUGGGCGUAAAGCGCGUGCAGGCGGAUUGGAAAGUUGGAUGUGAAAGCUCCCGGCUCAACUGGGAGAGGUCGUUCAAAACUACCAGUCUAGAGGGCGAUAGAGGGAAGUGGAAUUCCGGGUGUAGUGGUGAAAUGCGUAGAUAUCCGGAGGAACACCAGUGGCGAAAGCGGCUUUCUGGAUCGCACCUGACGCUCAGACGCGAAAGCUAGGGUAG